CCGGGUCCUCAAUCCAGAUAGUCUCUUCUUAUAUAGAUAUCUCUAAUGACCAGAUUUGAGAUGCACAUCAAAUUGUGUAGCUAUCUCAGUACAGCUUCUGGAACAAAAUUCUCUGCCCUUUCUCUUAUUAUUAUUAUUUUCUUUUUAGGUACCAGAGCCAGAAAAAAAAAAAUGCUACAUGGGAGCUGCAUCUUAGGGCAUGUGUAUUAGGGUGUGUGCAUGAUGAAUUUCUGGACUGGAUCCCAAUAUUAAAAAGUAGUUUGGCAUUUUAAUAAAGGGUCUCUAAGUAAAUUAACAUAGAACACUCGGUUGGCCGAUCUCUGAAUCUCUCUACACCUCGGGGAGACCUCACUACAAAGUAAGGGAGAGUGUGUAGGGAGGCAGGAGGAGAAAAGAGAAAGGCCAUGGAGAAACUUAGCAGGGAAGGGAGAGCAUGAUAUUAAACGGCAUGGGGUCUAAGUUUUGAAGUAUAUUUUUUUUGAUAUUACAAUUAAAGUAAAAUUAAAAAGAAAAGACUCCACCUUUGCUCUGAAGGGAUUGGUUAUGCAAAUAUGGAAGGGAUUUCCUGGAGAAUACAGCUUUCUACUGUAUGGUUAAUUAAAUAAUCACUCAAAAGCUUCCAACGUGACGCUUCUGUCGUAAUCCAAUCAGGUUACAUAGGUCCUAAACAAGAAAGAUAUUUUCCACAUCUGGAAGUCAGCAAUUUAGCAAGUACUGCACAUUAUUAACCAAUUCAGAGCCCACUUCCCAGGGGAAUUUUUUUGAAGUUUAAGUGUUCUUAACCAAUGCUCUGCUGUUUUGUUAAUCAAAAAGCUGGUUUACACUGCACAUAAUUGGAACUAAUAUAGAAGUAAAUAAAGACAGCCAAAUUUGA
rnacentral:antisense_RNA from 1 species